rnacentral:rRNA from 1 species
AGUGAACGCUGGCGGUAGGCCUAACACAUGCAAGUCGAACGGCAGCACAGUAAGAGCUUGCUCUUACGGGUGGCGAGUGGCGGACGGGUGAGGAAUACAUCGGAAUCUACUUUUUCGUGGGGGAUAACGUAGGGAAACUUACGCUAAUACCGCAUACGACCUACGGGUGAAAGCAGGGGAUCUUCGGACCUUGCGCGAUUGAAUGAGCCGAUGUCGGAUUAGCUAGUUGGCGGGGUAAAGGCCCACCAAGGCGACGAUCCGUAGCUGGUCUGAGAGGAUGAAUACCCCAACCGGGAAGUGGAAACGGGUCCAGCCCCCCAGGGGGGGCAGAAGGGGGAAAUUUGGAAAAAGGGGCCAAAGCCUAUCCCGCCCAACCCGGGGGGGUGAAAAAGGCCUUGGGUUUGAAAAGCCCUUUUGUUGGGAAAAAAAAGCAGAAGGUUAAAACCCCGCUUUUUGGGGGGAACCCAAAAAAAAAGCACCGGCAAACUUGGG